ACAACGCUUGACUAAGCUGUGCCACACCUUGGCCGGGGUGUGCCACAUCUUGGCCUAGGCCAUACCUGCCGGCGGACAAGGUUCACUAAGUACAAGACAUCUCGGCAAUAAAUGCCCGAGGUGAAGGUGGGGGUUGACCAAGAUCUCAAAACAGUUCUGAGUACAAAGGUUCAAAGGCGAACUAAGCUCAAGAUGACCUCGGCCACACAAACACCGAACAAGGAACAAAACCACGCAAGCAAUGCAAACAAACAAGGUAAGCAAAUCCUUCCAAUUAACGUAACAAGGCAAGAUCAUGCAGGAAUGUAUGCAAGUAUGACAAGAGUAAGGUGAGGGUUGUUACAAUAUUUAGCCACCACCACCUUCCUCCACAACCGCCCCCUUUCCUUCACAAACCGCCACAACCCUAAAAGAGUCAAAUUAAACAAUACCAAACUUUGAACCCCAACCCCCUUAUAGGCUUAGGAACACAAAUUCGAUCCCAAUGCAUAACUUAUUGUUUCUGCUGGCUGCAUUGCUGCUCAAAAUUUUGCACCAGCUGAUAUUGUAUAAUACAAAGCAAAGUUUCCGUACAUUCUGACUUGGAAGAUGUUGUUAACUGGCACGACCUUGUCUAAACAUGCUUGUGUUUCCUACGCGUGUAUUCUAUUCUUGUAUAUGAUUUGUUUGGAAUUGCUUGUUUCUAGAAACAUGUAAAAGUCGAGGAUGCUAAUUUGAAACGGGCUCGUGAAGACCUCCAGAACAAAGUUGAUUUUCUGCGAAAGCAAGCUGAUAGCUAUGAUGACAAGGGGCCUGUUAUAGAUGCUGUUGUAUGGCAUGAUGGAGAGCUAUGGAGGGUUGCUCUUGACACACAAAGUCUUGAGGAUGAUCUUGAGCGGGGGAAACUUGCUGAAUUUGUCCUCCUAACUAAUUAUAGUUUGAUGAAGACAAGGGAAAAGGUUGUUCCACGGCUUGCACAAAAAGUGUGUUUGAACGCUUAGAAGAGGUAUUUGAUGAAAACUAAAGUAACCUUCCUGAUUGUAAUACAAAUGUCUCUAUGCAUGCAAUUGUGUCUGGACAUGUGUGCUUGUGUUGUUGUGCAGACACUGGAAGAGUUCCUGUUUCAACUGUUGUAAUUUGCUUGUUGAUAGGGCGGUUGAUUACUUGGUUUUCUACAUGGCUUUUUAUGUUUUCACCUGCUAAAAAUUGUGUGAUGUCUACUUCUUGUUGAUUGUUGUCCUCUCAGAGCUGCACUUGGAGGAUCUUUCAUGCUAAGUUUUGGGUUUAUCAUUUCUUAGCUGUCUUGAGUAUAUUUAUCUUGUAAUUCACUUGUUUAAAUCAGAGAUGCAUAGUUUGAGUUAUCUUUUAGAAUACCAAAUAGAAAAAAGAAAUGUAUUGUCACGACCCCGAACCUGCCCCCAUAGGUUAGGGUCAUAACCAGCCUGUAAUCAUGAGAUUGCCUACAGUCUUAGACUAAAAUCAAGUCAUAUUUAAUAAUAGCGGGCCAGAAGCGGAAGCAGAAUAAUAGAUUUUGUCCAAUGAGCUGUGCAUAUAUGGCAUAACAAAAACUUUUCACUUAUGUAAUAACUCAAACCCAAUAGAACAUAAAAGAUUAUACAUGUCUAGUAGCAUUUAGAAACUAGCAAACCAAAAACCAAGGUUUAUAUAUAGGCCUAGUCUUACAUGACCAUCGAAAGUAAGCAAAAGAAAAUCAAAACAAAAGCGUCGUCCUUGAGGCAACCUUGACUGACUCCAAAAUCUCGGUAACCUUCACAAUCUCACUAAGGUUGGGGUUAGACAUUCCGCUGCUCACUUACAUACAUAUAAAUACGGAGUGAUUUAAAGUUCAAUAAAUAAUACCAGAGUAAAGAGGCUAAUAAAUGAGAUUCGUAUAUAAAUAAAUUAUACUUAUAAUUGAAAUAUUUGAACUACUAUUCUCAUUCAUAGUACAUCAAAAUCCAUAAACUAUACUUGUAGAUCAAUAUCAAAUCAAAUGACCUCGGAUGUAGUGCAUCAUAUCUAUAUACAAAACGACCUCAGGUCCAUUAUAUGCAAAACAACCUCGGGUCCGUCUAUACAAAACGACUUCGGGUCCAAUACUUAUUCAUACACCGUCCUCAAGUCUAAUGGAUCCAUAUAUAAAUGAUCACCGCUGCUUCAUAUCAUAAUACCAAACGACCUCGGGUCCAACAUUCUUAUAUUCAUAUUUAUCUGCAUAUUCAUAUUCAUGAUCAUGAUCAUAUCCGUAGUCAUAUUCAAAACGACCUUUGGUCCAAUCAAUUCCUUAUUCAAAACGACCUUUGGUUCAUUUAACAAUCAUACAAAACGACCUUCAAUCCAAUUCAUAUAUAAGAUGACAUUUAGUCUUAUCUUGUUAAACAUUCCAAAUGGCCUUAGGCCUAAUCCGUAUCCUUGUCAAAUAUACCAAACGGCCUUAGGCCCAUUUCAUAUUUUUGAUCAAACAUACCAAAUGGCUUUGGGCCUAUUUUGUUUUCAUACAUCAGUUACUUUACAGAUUCUAUUACGAAUCAAACAGAUAGAAUAAUCAUUCAUAGUAUAAAUUCAUAAGUUCAUAAACUUACCACAUAGGUAACAUUUAGAAAAUAAUACAUAUACAAAAAUAUUUUUACUAAGAUAUUACUCACAGUGUUCAAAUGCUUGAUUUGUCCUUGCAAUUAACCCUACAUAAUUCACAACACAUUGGGUCAUAAUAUAAUUUAAUCUGUUCUUUAGUUUGCUUAAUUUCUCAGGCUUCUUUCGUGUUCUUUAAUUCAUUUGGAAUGCUCAACGUAUGCCUAAGAAUGCUCAGAAAUGAAGGAGAACAUCAAUUGGAACAUAAAACAACUUUUCAAAAUUUCCUGAAAUAGGACACUUUGCUCGAGCGACCCCUUGGUCUGCAAAAGUAUUGGAUGCUUCAUUUUUACGCUCGAGCUCAAUUUUGGUCGCUCGAGCCAAUGCUAAAAAAUGUGAGUGGUCACUCGAGCAGUACUUUUGUCGCUCGAGCCAACCUUUCAAUAUCUGCAAAAGUAUUGGUUGCUUGCAUUAUAUGCUCGAGCGGUAACUUCUUCGCUCGAGUGGUGAAGUCGAAUUUUAGAAUUUCCAGAAUUUAUUUGAGCUUCAAACACACAUUCAAGGGUCCAAAUUUAUGCAUGAUUCACGCAAAUAUGUAAGAACAUUCUCAAUUAUAUAUAUAUUUGGAGCUAAUUUUAACCCAUGAUUCAAAAUUUCAUAAAUUCAACCAAAUUCAAACUUUGAACUACUUGUAAGCAACGCAUGUUUUUAUAUCUUGCAUAUGUAAGCUUCAAGACUUAAAAUUAGACUUCAAUACAUGAUAAUUUGUGUCAAUCAACCCUCAAUUUAACAUGAUUAACAUACUUUAUGCUCAAAUAUGCAAAAAUCAUGGCAAAUUCUUACAUGCAUGCAUCUAUUAACUUCAAAUUCAACAUUGUCAACUUAAUUCUUGUUCUUAGUCAUAUAUUAUGUUUGGAUUCACAUUGUUAUGAACUUAAACUUAUGAAUUAGAGCUCAAUCACUUACUUAGAGCCAUCAAUUCCUUCAAUUCUAGUUAAUUCUUGAAUCUAGCUCUUGAAUUUCCCAAGCUUGAGUUCAAUUCUUCAAGAACAGCUCCCUCUCUCUCUAAUUCUCACUUUUCUCUCUCUAUGGUGUAUAAAUUCAGCCAAGUAAUGAAAAUGAGCUCAAUGUCUUGAGCCUAAGCACUAAUUAUAUAUAUAGUGGUGAUUAGCUUAAGCUAAUUAACUAAGGAUUAGUCUAAUUAACCAAGGCUCAAUUAUUUAAUUUAAUCUAAUUAUUUUGAUCUGAAUCGUUUUUUUAAUCAAACUUCACCAUAUGCUUUAAAAAUCAUGCCAAUCACAAUGGUAUAAUCAAUUUUGGUUUCUGUCGCCUUUACGACUCUCAAUUUCAAAUUAUAACCAAUAGUAGAACAGAUUUCUCUACGGUGAACAGAUAUAAAUUCAAUAACUUAUUUAAUCACACAACUAACACCAAUAAAUCAUAUUAAGUACAUAAUCACAAGUAUAGUUAAGAUUAGCAUUAUAACACAGA